UACAGAGGUCCCAAGCGUUGUUCGGAUUCAUUGGGCGUAAAGGGUGCGUAGGCGGCGCGGGAAGUCGGGUGUGAAAUCUCGGAGCUUAACUCCGAAACUGCAUUCGAUACUGCCGUGCUUGAGGACUGGAGAGGAGACUGGAAUUUACGGUGUAGCGGUGAAAUGCGUAGAUAUCAGGAGGAACACCGGGUGGCGAAGGCGGGUCUCUGG
rnacentral:rRNA from 1 species